UCUCUCGUUCAGACACGUAUUAACUUAUGCAAUAUUUGUUCCUUCAAGAAGAAACAUCAAAACCGAAUAUAGUGAUACAUUAUAAAUAUUUUACUAAAUCUGGUGUAAUAAUUAAAAAUUAACUGCGUAAUUGUUUACAAAAAUCAGAUCAACAUUUCUAAAUUUUCUGAAGAAAGACAAAAAAAAGAGAUAAUUCAAUUCCAUUAUAUGUGUACAGUACGCACUUGACACAUAUCUUUCAUUCAAUAAAUACAAAACCUAAACUAAACACAACAUAAAUAUACAUUUUUUAAGUAUUGAAAAUUAAAAUUUAUAUGAGAAAUAAUGAAUGUAGUAACAGGUUUGAUUGAUUUCUCUAUCUAAUUUCUGUAGUGAAUUUUUGUAAAAUAAUGUUUGUACAAAAUUUCGCGGUUCUGUGUUGUGAGCUUUUUCUCCUCAUCAUUUCGUCAUCGAAAUCUCAGCGAAAUUACACCAACGACGAAGAUGAAGAUCAUAAUUUGACAGUACGAUACGAGAUAUACGCGGAUUCUACAACAAUUUAUAGCGACGAGAUAAAACCACUGCGAUAUGAUUUGUAUGAAAGGUUUACCGACGAUACGCAAUAUAAUGAAAUGGAAUAUGAAAUUAGCACUAUUUCCACGAAUAUCGAUCGCGAAGAUGUUGAUUCAAUACUACAUAAAUUAAGAAGACGUUCUGCUCACAAUCAAGAGAAUGAUUACAAAAUAUUGAAACACUCUCACAACAAUUCGACAAAUGUCAAUCAUAAAGAAAACUCUACGUCACAGAAGGUUUAUGAAAACCUGCUUAAAAUAAAUGAUUCUAUGUCGAAUAAAGUCUUUGAAAAUUUCACUAAGAAUAGUUAUGAAAGUAACAUCGUCCCAUACGAAACGUGCCAUAAUAUAACUUGUAUUCAGUUCUGCUGUCCUUUUGGCAAUAUCAUAAGAUGGAAUGACACUAAAUGUAUUCCAAAAGAAAGGAAAUAUGUUUUUCCGAAUGUGUACGAAUACACAAACGAUUCAACGCACAACAAAAGUGGGCGAGUGAACGAAUUCUUUCAGUUAACCGUCUACAAUAAGUGCUUAGAAUCGCAAUGUUACGUGGUACCCAUCGGUCAUCAGUACGAUUAUAAAAUUUUUGCCAAUGGUUCUUUAUUUAUACCUUAUUAUGAAACAUUAUUUAAAUCGACAUCAUAUUGCCUAGGCGUUAUCUUGAAAAGAGGGCGUAGAUUUGAAGCGAUUUUCAUUUCAGAACAGUAUGCGGAACUUAAAAGGAACGCUUUGAAACACACGCCUGAGUACAGUUGGAUAACUCAUGUAUUAAAUAUAUAUUCCAGUUUGCAUUUAGUGUGUAUAUUAUUUUUGGUGUCAGUAUUUCUAGUGUAUUCCAUAUUGCCAGAACUCCGAAAUGAACACGGCUUCAUGUUGCGCAAUUACUGUGCAUGUUUAUCCAUCGUAAUCGUGAUAGAUAUAGUCAGAGUUUUACAUUUGAAAGAGGAACUGUCAUACAUCCGUCCCGUCUGUAUUACAAUUGUCUUUUUAGAAUAUCUUUGUCUUUUAUCGGGUCACUUUUGGCUAAAUAUUAUGAGCUUUAAUAUGUGGCGGACAUUCAGAAGAUUCUCUUCGUUACAAAGAAACAGCAGACAAUCAGAAAAAAAAAGUUGGUGUAUUAUGCUAUUUUUGCGUACGGAUGUCCGUUUGUACUUGCUAUUAUUUGUGUCAUCGUUGUGGAUUAUGUUUCCGACUAUAUACCAAUAAUUUUGAGACCAGAAUUCAAAAAGGGAUAUUGCUGGUACUUUACGGGACAUUUGGAAGCACUUACAUUGUAUUAUUACUGGAUCAAAACUGUCUGUACUAUUAGUAGCAUUUGCUUAUCCAUCUGUGCGGCAAGGAACAUUAAACGCUGCGAAAAAGAUACAAACUUCAGUCUAACAGAUUCGGAAAGCAAGCAAUUUAACGACAAUAAGAAAUGGUUAAAUCUAUAUAUAAAGUUAUUUAUCGUGUUGUUUAUUAUUAUGGGUAUAAACUGGUUUAUGUAUAUAAUUUCAAGGUUGUUAUUUACAACACAAUAUAAAUAUAGUUUUUACACUGAAAUUAUUAGAGUCUUGUUAUGUGUAAUACAAUAUUUUUUCAUGUUUAUCAUAUUUGUAUGGAAGAGGAAAAUCAAGUUGAUGUUACUGAAACGAUUCGGAUUCAAGACGAAUGCAUCGACUUGAAUACCACUUUUGAGGAAUCCAUGCAGGAAAAGUCAAUUUUUUGUGGAAAAGAAACAUAUUACACGAAAAAUUUGUUUAAUGGGAUUGAAUUUAAAUGUUGUCAAUGUGUAAAGAAAACAGUUUUAUAAA